rnacentral:rRNA from 1 species
UGAGCAAUCUGCCCUUCACAUCGGAAUAACCAUUGGAAACGAUGGCUAAUACCGAAUAUGACUUCGGAUCGCAUGAUCUGAAGUGGAAAGCUCCGGCGGUGAAGGAUGAGCUCGCGGCCUAUCAGCUUGUUGGUGAGGUAAUAGCUCACCAAGGCGAUGGACGGGUAGCCGGCCUGAGAGGGUGACCCGGCCACACUGGGACUGAGACACCGGCAGA